CAGGGAGACAACAAAAUGUUUAAUAUUAUUAUUUUGUCACCUUUGGUCGAUCGGUAUCUCACAUUCUUAAUUUAUUAAGGAUUUCUUUUCCUAAGUUUUUCUAGGUCACACCCAUUAUUUUCCUGGGCCAUUAGCUCAGGUGGUUAGAGCGCACCCCUGAUAAGGGUGAGGUCCCUGGUUCAAGUCCAGGAUGGCCCAUAUCUCUAUGUUGGGGGUAUAGCUCAGUUGGUAGAGCGCCUGCUUUGCAAGCAGGAUGUCAGCGGUUCGAGUCCGCUUACCUCCACUGAUUACCACCUCUUUCAUAAUUGAUUGAAAGGAAAUUUUUUGUGAUGUGAUCAAAUUCUGAACGAAUCUAGCUUCCUAAUGAAAUUACUAAAAUAAUUCAUUAAGAUGCUGGACUCAAUGAACUAAUUUCAUUGUUUUCAGAGAACCUUGACAACUGCAUAGAUUAUCUUUAAAGACAAUAAGCAUCUUUAAUGAUGCAGAUUUAUUAUUUGUGCUAAUGCAUUAAUAACAAUUCUAUUAAGCUGAUGCUUCAAUUUUUGAAGUUAUU
rnacentral:tRNA from 1 species